rnacentral:rRNA from 1 species
UACGAGAGGCCCAAACGUUUAUUCGGAAUUACUGGGCUUAAAGAGUCCGUAGGCGGCGCAGAAAGUAGGGUGUGAAAGCCCUCGGCUCAACCGAGGAAUUGCGCUCUAAACUACUGUGCUUGAGGAACCUAGAGGUGAGCGGAACUGAUGGUGGAGCGGUGAAAUGCGUUGAUAUCAUCAGGAACACCGGGAGGCGAAGGCGG